rnacentral:lncRNA from 1 species
UAUGGAGAAAUAUGCAAGGUAAAUAUGUAGGUCAAGACGACUGAGUUGUAUAUAACAUCAUUAUUCUAUUAUGAGAUCAGGCUUCAGAGUAACAACCUACAUCCAUUUUCCUUGCAUAAUAUAAAGUAAGUGGGACAGGAGGGUAUAAUCAACACCAGCACUGACAUUAUUUUGUCAAAAUGGAAUCAGUUAAUAAAGUGCACGGAUGUUGAGAAGUGCCACCAGCAGAAUUUCCUAACUGCAAAAAGAAGGAAACAAUCUUUUUAAAAGUCUUAUUGGCCCCUAACUUAGUGUAUUUAGACUGAAUAUUUUCAACCAACCUGCACAGCUUUGCAAGACAAAAUAAUAAUAAUAAUAAUAAUAAUAAUUGUUUCAAAACAUUAGUGUUCAAAUUGAGAGGGCUGUUGAGGGGUCCUGGACCCCAGAAGUCAAAAACUGAUGAAGUCCCAUUUUAUUUACUGCAAUGGAAAAAUCUGAAUUAAGUGUUUUCAUACUAUUAUUGUUCUAUAGAGAUUACACCAGUUAUUAUGAUUAACAGGUAUUUUUGUAGGUAAUGCUUAAGUAGUUACUACAUGUCAUGCUCUUAUUUUUCAAAUACAGAUACAGUAAAUGUUUAUCCUCUCACUUUAUCUCUAUCCCCUGGUGUCACACUGAAUGGACCCGGUGUUCAUUCAAUAUGCCUGUCUCGCACACAUAAUGAAAAUCCCACCCACAGGCGUGCAUGCACACAAAUGAAAUAUUGGGCUGUGUAUGUAUGGAGGCAGGAUGGCAACAAGGCAUGUCCGAAUCCAGUCCAGUAAAAUGCCUUCAUCUGGUUAGUUUUUUAUGUCCAACAUAGAUGCAUCAUUCACUUUUAUAUUACCACAAUCCUGUAUGUGUACCCACCCACAGGCGUGCAUGCACACAAAUGAAAUAUUGGGCUGUGUAUGUAUGGAGGCAGGAUGGCAACAAGGCAUGUCCGAAUCCAGUCCAGUAAAAUGCCUUCAUCUGGGAGCUGGCAAACGGUUGCUGGACAGAAUGGGGGCAAUUCUGAAACACUGUUCAGGAUGGAACUUUUUCUGAGGUCUUGUGUAAUUUCUGUGCGACACAAAUGUUUCUUUUGUGUGUGCGUGUGUGUGUGUGUGUAACCGGUUCCGUUUUCCUCCAGGCACAGGAAUAUUUAAGCAGAUAACCACUCUAGAACACACAUGUAUGGCAGGAAGCAUUUUGAUACAUGACCAACAUACCUCAUCUUUUAAAAAAAAACAAAAAACAAAACAAGUUAAAUAUUUUCUGGCGUAUUUUUGUACAGUUAAAGGGAAUGUUCUUACUGUGCUUUAAGUGAGGUUUCUUCAGGCACUUCAACCCGGUUUCAUUUGUAAAAGCAUGCAAGAAUUAAACUGAGAAGUCGACUUGCAUUUAAAUGCCUGGUUAUUAUUUUACUCAAGGCAAAUGUACAGCUGUAGAUCUGAAGCGUUUUUUAUAGGGAAGUGUACAAUGGAAUUGGGGAACACAUGAGCCUCAUUUCUGGUACUAGAUUGAAGAUUGUAUAUGUUCUGUAAUAUAGUAAAACAAGGAGUUUAUGUAAAUCUGUGUGAAUGGGUCCCAAAUAGCAGGUAUAAAACUGGAUUUUGUUUUGCUUUUUUUUUUUUUAUCAUAAUGGCACAUUUGUUUUUCAUUAUUUUGUGCAAUAUACUCUCAAAAUGGACCAUCUGCGUUUUGUAGCAAAGGAAAUGAGUUACACGUCGUCAUGCUGAAGUCUGAAUCUGACACAAAUAAAUCAGCUGGAACUGAUAAGAAAAUGUAUGUCUGGUUAAUGGCAUGUGUGCCUGAGUGUUCAAAGCAAGGAUAUUUGUGAUCUUGCCAUUGGGCUCCUUCAGGAGGGUUGAUGUUUCCAGAUGCAGGCAAACAUUUUCCCACCCCUUCUUUCAAAUUGAGUAAUGCCUUUAUUUUUUCCCCUUUUCUUCUCCACUGGACCAUAAAAAAUCUGCUCCUUUAAGAAAUCAAAUCUCGCGCUGCCGGAUGAGGCUCCUUUUGAUUGGUGUAACCAUGACCCCCCACCCCACCCCUACCCAAAGCUUCCAAAAGUGUACUGCCCCUCUUUUUCUCUUCCGAACUGCAUUCAUUCUGCUUUCACUCAGACUACCUGUCCAGCCUGGUAUUAGCAAUUCUGCUCUGGAAGUGCAUAAAAACUUUACAAUCA